AGCCGGGUCCUGCGCGGCAGGACUCCCGAACCGUGUCAGGACCGAGAGGUAGCAGCACUAAGGCGAUCACCCUGGGUGCCGCAGGGGUUCCCGGUUUGA
rnacentral:SRP_RNA from 1 species